rnacentral:rRNA from 1 species
AAGCUACUAAGGGCAUACGGUGGAUGCCUUGGCACAAGAAGGCGAUGAAGGACGUGGUAAGCUGCGAUAAGCCUCGGGUAGGUGCAAACAACCUUAGACCCGGGGAUUUCCGAAUGGGGCAACCCUACCGCUGUAAUGAGCGGUAACUUCCCGCUGAAUAAAAUAGGCGGGAUAGAGCAAACGGGGGGAAGUGAACCAUCUCAGUACCCCUUGGAAAAGAAAGCAAAAGCGAUUCUCCAAGUAGCGGCGAGCGAACGGGGAACAGCCUAAACCGAUUCUAUGUUAAAACCUGCAUGUGUUGUAGAAUCGGGGUUGCGGGAUUCAACUGGGAUCCAGUGCAGUGAAUCCGGAAAGUUAUAAAACUAUUUUCUAGUCGAAUGGUUCUGGAAAGGCCAAUCGUAGAAGGUGAUAAUCCUGUAGACGAAAGGGAAUAGUCUUUCUGAGUUGAAUUCCCAAGUACCGCGGGACACGGGAAAUCUUGUGGGAAUCUGGGUGGACCACCACCCAAGGCUAAAUACUCUCUUGUGACCGAUAGUGAACCAGUACCGUGAGGGAAAGGUGAAAAGUACUCCUGUGAGGAGAGUGAAAUAGUACCUGAAACCGUAUGCUUACAAUCAGUCGGAGUCUUUCUAGGUCUUCGGACUUAGCGGGAUGACGGCGUGCCUUUUGCAUAAUGAGCUAGCGAGUUACUUGUGUGUUGCAAGGCUAAUCCGUUAAGCGGAGAAACCGUAGCGAAAGCGAGUCUGAAUAGGGCGACCAUAGUAACAUGCAGUAGACCCG